AACGAACGCUGGCGGCAGGCCUCAAACAUGCAAGUCUAGGGGGCGUAGCAAUACGUCACCGGCGGACGGGUGCGUAACACGUGGGAAUGUACUUAUUGGUUCGGAACAACUCAGGGAAACUUGAGCUAAUACCGAAUGUGCCCGAAAGGGGAAAGAUUUAUCGCCAAUGAAUCAGCCCGCGUCCGAUUAGCUAGUUGGUGGGGUAAAGGCCCACCAAGGCGACGAUCGGUAGCUGUUCUGAGAGGAAGAUCAGCCACACUGGGACUGAGA
rnacentral:rRNA from 1 species